UACGUAGGGACCAAGCGUUGUUCGGAUUUACUGGGCGUAAAGGGCGCGUAGGCGGCAAUUCAAGUCAGCUGUGAAAUCUCCGGGCUUAACUCGGAACGGUCAGCUGAUACUGCUUUGCUAGAGUGCGGAAGGGGCAAUCGGAAUUCUCGGUGUAGCGGUGAAAUGCGUAGAUAUCGAGAGGAACACCUGAGGUGAAGACGGGUUGCUGGGCCGACACUGACGCUGAUAGCGCGAAAGCCAGGGGAGCAAACGGG
rnacentral:rRNA from 1 species